rnacentral:rRNA from 1 species
GACGAACGCUGGCGGCGUGCCUAAUACAUGCAAGUCGAACGCACAGUUUAUACCGUAGCUUGCUACACCAUAGACUGUGAGUUGCGAACGGGUGAGUAACGCGUAGGUAACCUGCCUGGUAGCGGGGGAUAACUAUUGGAAACGAUAGCUAAUACCGCAUAAUAUUAAUUAUUGCAUGAUAAUUAAUUGAAAGGUGCAAUUGCACCACUACCAGAUGGACCUGCGUUGUAUUAGCUAGUAGGUGAGGUAACGGCUCACCUAGGCGACGAUACAUAGCCGACCUGAGAGGGGGAUCGGCCACACUGGGACUGAGACACGGCCCAGACUCCUACGGGAGGCAGCUGUAGGGAAUCUUCGGCAAUGGACGAAAGUCUGACCGAGCAACGCCGCGGGAGGGAAGAAGGGUUUCGGAUCGUAAAGCUCUGUUGUAAGAGAAGAACGGGUGUGAGAGUGGAAAGUUCACACUGUGACGGUACCUGACCAGAAAGGGACGGCUAACUACGUG